CAAUAGCGUAUAUUAAAGUUGUUGCAGUUAAAAAGCUCGUAGUUGGAUUUCUGGUGGGAGCGAUCGGUCUGGCGCUUAGCGCGAGUACUUGCAUCGUCUCCGGCCAUCCUUGGGGAGAGUCUGUCUGGCAUUAAGUUGUCGGGCAGAGGAUCCUCAUCGUUUACUGUGAAAAAAUUAGAGUGUUCAAAGCAGGCUUAUGCCGUUGAAUAUAUUAGCAUGGAAUAAUAAGAUAGGACUUUGGUACUAUUUUGUUGGUUUGCGCACCAAAGUAAUGAUUAAUAGGGACAGUUGGGGGUAUUCGUAUUCCGUUGUCAGAGGUGAAAUUCUUGGAUUUACGGAAGACGAACUACUGCGAAAGCAUCUACCAAGGAUGUUUUCAUUAA
rnacentral:rRNA from 1 species